AGUUAACAUACUUUAUUAUUAGAAGGUUUAAUUUGCGUUUAAAAAGUGGGUAAGCCCCUGUUAACUU
rnacentral:tRNA from 1 species